CCCGGCCCGUCCCGUCCCGUCCCGGCCGGGUGUGCCGUGGGCUGCGCGCGGCGCGGCGCGGCCUGGCCUGGGGCCUUCGGGCGCAGGGCGCAGCCCGGGCCGGGGCGUCGCCUAGCAGCGGGACGCGGCGGCCGCAGUGGAGGUGCCCGGGCGCAGGCAGCCGCCCCCCCCCCCCCCCCGCCGCAUUACGUCACGUCGCGCUGCCCCGCACCGAGCGGGCCCCGCACUGAUGGCGGCGGCGGGCGGGGACGCGCGCGCGGAGCUGGAUGUGGAUGUGGAUGCGGGGCCGGGGCAGGAGAAGUACGACGCGGAGGAGAACGUGAAGAUCAUCUGCCUGGGCGACAGCGCCGUCGGCAAGUCCAAGCUGAUGGAGCGGUUCCUCCUGGACGGGUACCGCCCGCAGCAGCUCUCCACGUUCGCUCUGACGCUCUACAAGCACGCCGCCAGCGUGGACGGGAAGCGCGUCCUCGUGGACUUCUGGGACACAGCAGGGCAGGAGCGGUUCCAGAGCAUGCACCCCUCCUACUACCACAAAGCCCAUGCUUGUAUCAUGGUGUUUGACGUGCAGAGGAAGGUCACCUACAAGAACCUGAGCAACUGGUACAAGGAGCUGAGGGAGUUCCGCCCAGAGAUCCCCUGCAUCGUGGUGGCCAACAAAAUUGACGCGGAUAUGAAAAUGACUCAGAAAAGCUUCAACUUUGCCCGGAAGUUCAACCUGCCUUUCUACUUUGUCUCUGCUGCAGACGGCACCAAUGUGGUGAAGCUUUUCAGUGACGCCAUCAAACUGGCCGUCGCCUACAAGCAGAAUUCAGGGGACUUCAUGGACGAGGUCAUGCGAGAGCUGGAGAACUUUGACCUGCAGCAGAAGGGGGAAGACUUCUCCGAUAAGGAGGAGAGCUGCCCCGAGGAGAAGCCCCCCUCCACCUGAGCCUGCCCGGACCAGCCUCAGGCUGCUGCCCUGCAUCACCCAAGGGGAUGGCCUUCAGGAAGUUAUUCAGUCGUUUGAAGAAAUCGUCGUUGGUGCUCCGGCCUGACGGACAGGUGCCUGGUUUUGGCUUCUGAUUUACCGGUGGCAGUGGCAUUGGCGGCAGCUGCUGCAUGUAGGGCGACUGCGAGGCGAUACCCUCUGUACCGGUCUGCAUGUGCCGCCAGCAUGGCCAGCCUCUCCCGCUGCCCGCGAGGAGCCGACGCACCUCAGCCUCUGCACCGCCUUGUCGAAACUCUGGAUCCGCCCCGGCCGCAUGCUCCUUGGUCCCUCCUGCCCCGGCGCCCCCCAUCUCUCUCCCUCCCUCGCUCUGCCCAGCCCCAAUGCACCCACAAGUUUGACGCCGCAGCCAUUUUCCACCAGUGCUUCCAGUAAGACCCAGUUCUAACUUUU